rnacentral:misc_RNA from 1 species
UUGAUCUUGCCGAGCACGACACCGUCGGGGCUCAACAGGCCGGCCGCGCUGAUCUCCUUGAUGGUCGCCCAGCGCGCUGAACCAUAGGUCUGCGCUUCUUUCGCCUGGGCGCGCCAUACCGACAUGACAAUGGCGACCGCGACUGAGAUGAAGCCACCGGAAGCAGCAAUUAACGCGCCUUCGACGAAGAUCCCGGGCGCAUAGGCGUCAUAAGAGAACCACCACCAGAAGAAUGCCGGCGGCGGGUAAAGCGGCAAACCGCCGAUCUGGCUCCAUGGCGCGCCGAGUUGAACCUGAUAGGCGAGACGCCAGGCGGUCCACUGCGUCGCGCCCCAGGUUGUCGUGAGCACGAUCAGUGUCACGAUCAGAAUCUGGCCCCAAAGGAUUUUCGUCGCGGGCACCGGCUUGCUCCUGACGGAACGGUCAGCCGUCAAGGAAACCGU